rnacentral:piRNA from 1 species
UAAAAGGAUGUGGAUGCUGUUCAAA